rnacentral:tRNA from 1 species
GGGAUUGUGGCUCAGAGGUAGAGCACUCGCCUGCCAUGCGUGAGGCACUGGGUUCGAUCCUCAGCAUUACUU